UCAGAUUGAACGCUGGCGGCAGGCUUAACACAUGCAAGUCGAGCGGUAACAGGGGGUGCUUGCACCCCGCUGACGAGCGGCGGACGGGUGAGUAAUGCAUAGGAAACUGCCCAGUAGUGGGGGAUAGCCCGGGGAAACCCGGAUUAAUACCGCGUACGCCCUUCGGGGGAAAGCAGGGGCUCUUCGGACCUUGCGCUAUUGGAUGUGCCUAUGUCGGAUUAGCUAGUUGGUGGGGUAAAGGCCUACCAAGGCGACGAUCCGUAGCUGGUCUGAGAGGAUGAUCAGCCACAUCGGGACUGAGACACGGCCCGAACUCCUACGGGAGGCAGCAGUGGGGAAUAUUGGACAAUGGGGGCAACCCUGAUCCAGCCAUGCCGCGUGUGUGAAGAAGGCUUUCGGGUUGUAAAGCACUUUCAGUGAGGAGGAAGGCUUGAAGGUUAAUACCCUUCAGGAUUGACGUUACUCACAGAAGAAGCACCGGCUAACUCCGUGCCAGCAGCCGCGGUAAUACGGAGGGUGCAAGCGUUAAUCGGAAUUACUGGGCGUAAAGCGCGCGUAGGUGGUUUGAUAAGCGAGAUGUGAAAG
rnacentral:rRNA from 1 species